ACUGCUAGAGGGGAAGAGAAGAAUGGAAAGUUGCACCAGCUCUUAACAGCCUCAACUCAGAGAUGACACGUGUCUCUUCUGCUCCCAAUCCCUCAGCCAGAAUUAGUAAUGUGGGCUGCUGAAAAAUGUCAGGAGUGCAUGGAUAUUUGGAGAGUGCUGUUUCUGCCACCUUAUUUCAUACCAAACCACAGAAACAAAAUUGGUGACUCUUCUUAGUAAAUUAGAACAGAGUAUCAAAAGGAUUAUUAGGAUCAGAGCAUCUGGAAUGACCAAUGAGUCCAUUAAGUCAGGAGAAUUAGAACAGAACCAUUAUGAGGAAUCAUAAUGGUCAGAAUGGGAACAAACUGACCAAAGGGCUUACUGGAUGAAGCUAACCAGAUAGAGUGAGACCAGAGAGAAGAAGUGGCCCAGGAAGUCAUAACCUCCUGUUCCUGACUUGGACUUUCUCCUUUGUCCUAUGUCUGGAGACUUCUUGGAAGCUGGAGCACACAAAUAGCUACAGCAAACUUGAGGAAUGGGCAUGAAUAGACUGGCUUCGGGGAACCUGCCAGCUUGGCCGUGUGGCCAAGGUAAUAGGCAAGCCAAGGCAGAGCUAGAGCUCAGAGCUGGAGGGGAAAUUAAAGCAGCAAAUGUAGAAACAUUAAGCCUGAAGAGGCGACGACGUUGAAUUCUAAAAUGCAGGCCAAAGCUCAGACUGCAAGCUGUCUGGCUGCUCCGGGUGUGCCCAGAAGUCAAAGUCCAGCAGGGGCAAAGGUGGAGGUGUGGUCCUGCACGUGGGGUGUUGGGGGGAUGUGGAAGAGGAGGUGCUUUAAGAUCCAGAGAUUCCAGCUGCCCUGGUGCACCCUUGGAAGAAUAAAAGGCUAGGAACUGGACAAGUCAGGCUCGAGUCCAAGCUGCCUGAGGAAUCGGGGAAAGAAUGGAGCUCAGAGUGGGAGGUCAGGGCAGUAUUUAAAAAUCCAGGAUAGCAGCAAAGCUGGCGGUGGCCCCUGACUCUGGUAAGGGCAGCCUGCAGCACCAUGCCAAGGGGGGCCUGACUGAUCAUGCCCUGCAUUUGCAAACAAGGAUUAGUAGGGUAUGAGUAGGAUUCUGCUGGUGCCUGGGAAGGCAGUGCCAUCUACAACUUUACAAAGUUUUAACAAAGGCCUGAAGGACACAACCUUCCCCAAAGUCCUGACGUCGCUGUUUGCUGGCAACAAAUAGAGUCAAAAGAAGAGAGGCACAGAAUGUGCCAGGGGUGUGCUGCGUACAGCCCCGAUGACCACAAGGCCUUCUUGGGUCAAGUUCUGCCAUCUCUGGUUAAGAUGGGCUCACCCUCUAGGACCCUGAUUGAGUCCUCGGACCACCAAGAGUGCCCCACCAAGAGCCUCCCUCUUCUGGUGACUCGUGCCUGCUUCCCGUGGAGAGCUCCAGAAGGGAGGAAACUGUGAGGAGGUGGAGAACGUGGCAGGGAUCCUAACUUUCUUACUGAAGGAAGUUCUUCACAAGUACCCAUCUGCCUUCAGGGAAGAAAACAUAACUCAUUUUGGUCUUUCAAAUUCAGUUCUCAAAACCAAAUCCUGUUGUCAGCAAUCUGUGUCCCAACGCCUUCUUCAGCAACAGCAUUUUCCCUGUGGAAUUAGUUUCCAAUGUUCUUUCUUAAAUAAACCACUGAAGAUUAAAAGGAAUCCAGAUACCCACCACAUUUUGUUUCCUUAAUGAGUAAUUAUCACAUUUCUUUGGCUACUUAAAUGCAUUCUCUGAGUCAGGUAAAGGAGAUCGUAAUAGUUAAUCAACAAGAAGUAAUUCUUGGGUACUUAACAAUAGUCUAAGCACUUAAUCAUACUUAAAAUUGACUAUUAAUGAACCUUAUAAACCAUUUUGCAAUUCUGAAAGUGAAUUUCUCUGCAGGCUUAGAGAUUACUAAGCCAUUUAGAUCUUACCAAACAAAUAUUAUUCAUGCUUUAAUUCCUGGGAAAAGAAAUUUAGAAAAUGAGGUUAAUGUUCAGUUGUCCUUUCCUGAGUUUAACAAUUAUAUAUUCCAUCUGGGAUGCUCUGAACUCAGGUUAAACAUUCUUCAAGUUAUUCCCACAUUUUUCAAGUUAUUCCCACGUUAGUGACCUACUUUAUUAGUAUUAUUACUAAAGAAAAGGGCUGGGUGCGGUGGCCCACAUCUGUAAUCCCAGCACUUUGGGAGGCUGAAGCAGGAGGAUCACUUGAGCUUGGGAGUUCAAGACCAGCCUGAGAGGGAGACUCCGUCUCUACAAAAAAAAAAAAAUUAGCCAGGUAUGGUGGCACGCGCUCAUGGGCCCAGCUACUCAAGGAGGCUGAGGUGGGAG
rnacentral:lncRNA from 1 species